rnacentral:rRNA from 1 species
UACGUAGGGUGCAAGCGUUGUCCGGAAUUAUUGGGCGUAAAGGGCUCGUAGGCGGUCUGUCACGUCGGGAGUGAAAACUCAGGGCUUAACCCUGAGCCUGCUUCCGAUACGGGCAGACUAGAGGUAUGCAGGGGAGAACGGAAUUCCUGGUGUAGCGGUGAAAUGCGCAUAUAUCAGGAGGAACACCGGUGGCGAAGGCGGUUCUCUGGGCAUUACCUGACGCUGAGGAGCGAAAGUGUGGGGAGCGAACAGG